rnacentral:rRNA from 1 species
AUUGAACGCUGGCGGCAUGCCUAACACAUGCAAGUCGAGCGAGCGGCGGACGGGUGAGUAAUGUCUGGGAAACUGCCUGAUGGAUGGGGAUAACUACUGGAAACGGUAGCUAAUACCGCACACCAUCAGAUGUGCCAAGAGGGGAUUAGCUAGUAGGUGGGGUAAUGGCUCACCUAGGCGACGAUCCCUAGCCGGUCUGAGAGGUUGACCAGCCACACUGGAACUGAGACACGGUCCAGACUCUUACGGGAGGCAGCAGUGGGGAAUAUUGCACAAUGGGCGAAAGCCUGAUGGAGCCAUGCCGGGUGUGUGAAGAAGGCCUUCGGGUUGUAAAGCACUUUCAGCGGGGAGGCGUUACCCGCAGAAGAAGCACCGGCUAACUCCGUGCCAGCCGCCGCGGUAAUUC